rnacentral:rRNA from 1 species
GGGUUGUGAGGUUAAGCGACUAAGCGUACACGGUGGAUGCCCUGGCAGUCAGAGGCGAUGAAGGGCGUGCUAAUCUGCGAUAAGCGCCGGUAAGGUGAUAUGAACCGUUAUAACCGGCGAUACCCGAAUGGGGAAACCCAGUGUGAUUCGUCACACUAUCAUUAACUGAAUCCAUAGGUUAAUGAGGCGAACCGGGGGAACUGAAACAUCUAAGUACCCCGAGGAAAAGAAAUCAACCGAGAUUCCCCCAGUAGCGGCGAGCGAACGGGGAGGAGCCCAGAGCCUGAAUCAGCAUGUGUGUUAGUGGAAGCGUCUGGAAAGGCGCGCGAUACAGGGUGACAGCCCCGUACACAAAAGCGCAUGUGCUGUGAGCUCGAUGAGUAGGGCGGGACACGUGGUAUCCUGUCUGAAUAUGGGGGGACCAUCCUCCAAGGCUAAAUACUCCUGACUGACCGAUAGUGAACCAGUACCGUGAGGGAAAGGCGAAAAGAACCCCGGCGAGGGGAGUGAAAAAGAACCUGAAACCGUGUACGUACAAGCAGUGGGAGCACCCUUUGGGUGUGACUGCGUACCUUUUGUAUAAUGGGUCAGCGACUUAUAUUCUGUAGCAAGGUUAACCGAAUAGGGGAGCCGGAGGGAAACCGAGUCUUAACCGGGCGUUAAGUUGCAGGGUAUAGACCCGAAACCCGGUGAUCUAGCCAUGGGCAGGUUGAAGGUUGGGUAACACUAACUGGAGGACCGAACCGACUAAUGUUGAAAAAUUAGCGGAUGACCUGUGGCUGGGGGUGAAAGGCCAAUCAAACCGGGAGAUAGCUGGUUCUCCCCGAAAGCUAUUUAGGUAGCGCCUCGUGAAUUCAUCUCCGGGGGUAGAGCACUGUUUCGGCUAGGGGGCCAUCCCGGCUUACCAACCCGAUGCAAACUGCGAAUACCGGAGAAUGUUAUCACGGGAGACACACGGCGGGUGCUAACGUCCGUCGUGAAGAGGGAAACAACCCAGACCGCCAGCUAAGGUCCCAAAGUCAUGGUUAAGUGGGAAACGAUGUGGGAAGGCCCAGACAGCCAGGAUGUUGGCUUAGAAGCAGCCAUCAUUUAAAGAAAGCGUAAUAGCUCACUGGUCGAGUCGGCCUGCGCGGAAGAUGUAACGGGGCUAAACCAUGCACCGAAGCUGCGGCAGCGACACUGUGUGUUGUUGGGUAGGGGAGCGUUCUGUAAGCCUGUGAAGGUGUGUCGUGAGGCAUGCUGGAGGUAUCAGAAGUGCGAAUGCUGACAUAAGUAACGAUAAAGCGGGUGAAAAGCCCGCUCGCCGGAAGACCAAGGGUUCCUGUCCAACGUUAAUCGGGGCAGGGUGAGUCGACCCCUAAGGCGAGGCCGAAAGGCGUAGUCGAUGGGAAACGGGUUAAUAUUCCCGUACUUGGUGUUACUGCGAAGGGGGGACGGAGAAGGCUAUGUUGGCCGGGCGACGGUUGUCCCGGUUUAAGCGUGUAGGUGUGUGUUCCAGGUAAAUCCGGUUCACUUUAACACUGAGGCGUGACGACGAGGCACUACGGUGCUGAAGCAACAAAUGCCCUGCUUCCAGGAAAAGCCUCUAAGCAUCAGGUAACAUCAAAUCGUACCCCAAACCGACACAGGUGGUCAGGUA